ensembl:lncRNA
GUUUGUGUAUGCUCCGAUCCUCGGUAGAGUAGGAACCACAGAAAUUAUAUCUGUGCCACCUUCUUGUACUAAUGGUGUAGUACCACUAGUGUACUAGUGCUUCCUUGUGUCUACUCCAGACUCUGUCUCCAGACAGAGAAACAGUCUCCCAGGCUGUACCGAAAAAGAGGAGCCUACCAGGUGUGACCCAGAGGGAUAGAGAGCACAGUUCAAGUGUGGAGACAGUUGCUCAUCCCUGCUAUCAGAUGUGCUGGCUGCAGCUCUCUAAUGAACUACAGCAUUUUGAUAUUAGUUAGCUCUGCACCGAGAAGCUCGAGAAGCUCGUGGAAGUCAUCCCUUUACCUCUACUUGAAGCUGUUCUUCAGAAUUGAAACCAGACCACUCCCUACCCUCUCCCGAGGGUGAUUAGAGAAGGAAAAGGACAUCUUACCUCACCCCUUCCAUCUCCUCGCUCCCUAUCUCACAUGGCAAUAUUAUGCAUCCUGUUCUCAUCACUGUAGUUCAUACUAAUGAAUGAAACAAACUCCUAGAACAAUGGGGCUCCAUGAUAUGUUGACCACCUGGUAUUUUUUAUUAGCUCCACAGCCAGUAACUUUCUUUCCAUCCCAUAAAAAUGUUAAUUAGUCAGUCCUCGCAUUUUGGUCUGGCUUUUCAUAUUGCCACAGAAAGAGGGGCGAAGACAGCUCUUCACCAGGGAGUGUUUACAACCUGCUUUGCCCCAGGUGCCGUCACGAAUGCUGCCAGAUGAACGCAAUCCUCGGCUCCUACGCAUCCCUUCACCUUCAAAGCAUUCUUCUGCAUCUCGGUGCACAGGCAGCAAAUGAGACAUCUGCAAGGCACUCGCCGCUCUGAACCUUCCCAGGCGAGGGAUCGGCUAUACGCAGCAUGUCAGACCGUCAAUGCAAAAGUCAGUCUAAACGCUUCAAGCGUAACUGUGAGCACAAAAGCCCAGUCAAAGUGCGAAGAUCAGCAGUAUUUUUCAAGCCUGUUUUGAAGAUUACCCCAAACGUGUUACAAGAGAGGCUGGCCUUGAAAAUGCUGAGCUGCUUUGCUGGCUGUGCUGGAAAUCAACCCCGUGAGAAGGAGAUCCUUAGAAGAGGCCGUCAUCAUCUCCUCCGGGCCAACACUGAAGAACCUGAGCCAAGAAAAUAUGGUGCUUGGGCACCAUCCCUGCACCAGCGUUUUGAUGCCGCACCCACUGGCGUUAUGCUCUGAAAGGGGAGAUGCCAUGUAGAGGGGCAGGAUUUUUGCAGAUAUUUGUUUUUGAAAGCGCAGUGAGCUGCCGACCUGGAUAAGUUGUGUGUACCUCUUGCACAGCUCUCAGCGCUGAGCUCACUGGUAGCCUUCGCGCAUUUGAGGGACUGGUUCCUUGCAUCACGUCAGGGCUGCUUCCUGUUAGAGGUUUCAAAGAGGUAAAACAUAGUGCAGCUGCUGUGCUUUCCGCUUACUGUACCAAGGUGUAGCUCUGAUUGCUUUGCCCUAUAUCAGCCUGCAGAAAAUGCCCUUCUUGGCACUAUUUCAGGCUGCGAAUUAAUUUUUUUUUUCCUUUUCUUUUUUUUUUUUGAUUUCUUCCCUUUUUUUCCUGUUUCUCUUUUUCAUUUUUAUACUGCCGCUGCAUCACAUAAUGCUGGGACAGGAUAAAAAUCAGCCACCGAGAAACUUUUAAAAAUC